UAGCUCAGCAGCACAGCUUGUGCCUGGCAAGCGCAAGGUCCUGGGUUCGAUUCCCAG
rnacentral:tRNA from 1 species